AAGCUCGUAGUUGAAUUUCGGGAUCAAUACGUCGGUCGUGCCCUCGGUACGUACUGGCGUCAUUGGUUUCUCCCUUCUGAUGAACCAUGAUGUCAUUAAUUUGGUGUUGUGGGGAAUCAGGACUGUUACUUUGAAAAAAUUAGAGUGUUUAAAGCAGGCUCACGCUUGAAUACAUUAGCAUGGAAUAAUGAAAUAGGACGUUUGAUUCUAUUUUGUUGGUUUCUAGGAUCGACGUAAUGAUUAAUAGGGAUAGUUGGG
rnacentral:rRNA from 1 species